rnacentral:rRNA from 1 species
AGGGUUCGAUUCUGGCUCAGAUUGAACGCUGGCGGGAUGCUUUACACAUGCAAGCUGAACGGCAGCACGACUUCGGUCUGUAGGCGAGCGGUUGAACGGGUGAGUAAUGUAUCGGAACGUGCCUAGUAGUGGGGAUAACUACGCCAAAAGCGUAGCUACUACCGCAUACGCCCUUCGGGGGAAAGCGGGGACCUUCGGGCCUCGCACUAUUAGAGCGGCCGAUAUCGGAUUAGCUAGUUGGUGGGGUAACGGCUCACCAAGGCGACGAUCCGUAGCUGGUUUGAGAGGACGACCAGCCACACUGGGACUGAGACACGGCCCAGACUCCUACGGAGGCAGCAGUGGGGAAUUUUGGACAAUGGGGGAAACCCCGAUCCAGCCAUCCUGGGCGUGUGCGAUGAAGGCCUUCGGUUGUAAAGCACUUUUUUGGGUGGGUAAAGAAACGGCACGGGAUAAUACCCCGUGCAACUGACGGUACCUGCAGAAUAAGCAACGGCUAACUACGUGCCAGCAGCCGCGGUAAUACGUAGGGCAAGGCACUCUGGAAUUACUGGGCGUAGCGUGCGCAGGCGGUUCGGAAAGAAAGAUGUGAAAUCCCAGAGCUUAUAACUUUGGAAAUCAGCAUUUUUAACUACUGAGCUAGAGGUGUCAGAGGGAGGUGGAAUUCCGCGUGUAGCAGAAUGGCGGUAGAUAUGAGGAACACCGAUGGCGAAGGCAGCCUCCUGGGGAGACAACACUGAUUGCUCAUGCACGAAAGCGGGAGCAAAACAGGAUUAGAUACCCUGGUAGUCCACGCCCUAAACGAUGUCAACUAGCUGUUGGGGCCUUUCGGGCCUUGGUAGCGCAGCUAACGCGUGAAGUUGACCGCCUGGGGAGUACGGUCGCAAGAUUAAAACUCAAAGAAUUGACGGGGACCCGCACAAGCGGUGGAUGAUGUGGAUUAAUUCGAUGCAACGCGAAAACCUUACCUACCCUUGACAUGUUCAAAUCCUGAAGAGAUUUGGGAGUGCUCGCAGAACCGAACACAGGUGCUGCAUGGCUGUCGUCAGCUCGUGUCGUGAGAUGUUGGGUUAAGUCCCGCAACGAGCGCAACCCUUGUCAGUUAGCGUUACGAAAGGGCACUCUAUCGAGACUGCCGGUGACAAACCGGAGGAAGGUGGGGAUGACGUCGAGUCUCGUUGGCCCUUAUGGGUAGGGCUUCACACGUCAUACAGCUGUCGGGACAGAGGGUCGCCAACCCGCGAGGUGGGGAGCCAAUCCCAGAAACCCGAUCGUAGUCCGGAUCACAGUCUGCAACUCGACUGCGUGAAGUCGGAAUCGCCAGUAAUCGCGGAUCAGCAUGUCGCGGUGAAUACGUUCCCGGGUCUUGUACACACCGCCCGUCACACCAUGGGAGUGGGUUUUACCAGAAGUAGUUAGCCUAACCGUAAGGAGGGCGAUUACCACGGUAGGAUUCAUGAUUGGGGUGAAGUCGUAACAACGUAG